rnacentral:lncRNA from 1 species
UAGUCCCCAAGGAAAAGCCCCUUGAGAUUUUCACUAACCUAGCUUUUAAACAGGAUAAGCUAGUAACCUUUACAAGAUAGCGAGCACUCUCCAAACAAAACAAUCCUUUGUAGAAGAGCCUCUAAACCCAAGAGAUAUCACCUCUCUUGAAACCUUGGGAUCGCACCCAAUACAAAAUAGAAUUACAAUAAUAAAGUAAUACACCAAAUGUGUAGAUAUAACAAAUUGAAGCACAAGAACUACAAGAUAAACUAUGUAGUAUAAAAUAGCUCUCAAGAAAAUAUAUUAGCAAGUGUAUGAAUAAUGAGAGUGAGAAAGAGUAUGACAAAUAUUUUCUAUGUCAAGGUGUAGUUUUUCAAGUACACCGAUGCAUCCUUUUUAUAUUUAAUGAAGAAUGAGAUGCAUGGAGAGAAAAUAGCCGUUUGACCAUUUAAAACAAAAUUAGACGUUGAGACAAAUAUAGGAAAGUCAUUACAUGCAAAUGAAAACUUUAGUAAUUGUCCCACGGCUACAAGGAAAUCAUGAAAACAGAUAGUGGCAUUGAAUCCAUUAAGACCAAUUAAAAUAAAAUAUGCAAAAACAAUAUUGCCAUAAAGCUGUUGAAUUAAUGUAAUGAAAUAGUCAACAAUCAUCUUUUAUAUAAUGCCAACGGUAAUAAAAAUAUGAUAUGAUGAACCAAUUUUGAUGCAUAAAAGAGUAUGCCUUUAAGACCAUGGCCAACUACUAUUUUUAAGAAAAUAAUUAAUUAUGCAAUUUACAUAAUUGAUUAUGGCUUUAUAUGCAAAAAUAUUUUUAUGUAAAAUCACUUUAUAUGAAAAACAUUGUGAGUGUGUGAUAUAUUUUUAACGAGAGCUUUUUCUACUACUUACAUAAAAGUCCUAAAACAAAUAAAAAUUAGAAUCUAAGACUUGAAAGCUUGAAUCUUCUUUUCCGCUUUUUGCAUCUUUGUUCUUCUAGGACUUCUUUUGUCAAUCAUCAAAACUAAAGUAUUCCUGUCAAGGCAUAUAUUCACAU